GACGAACGCUGGCGGCGUGCCUAACACAUGCAAGUCACGGGGAGUAGCAAUACCAACCGGCGAACGGGUGCGGAACACGUGAGCAAUCUGCCGAUUACUGGGGGAUAGCCGGGCCAACGCCCGGGUAAUACCGCAUACGCUCAUGAGGGGACAUCCCCUUAUGAGGAAACCUCCGGGGGUAAUCGAGGAGCUCGCGUCUUAUCAGCCAGUUGGCGGGGUAACGGCCCACCAAGGCUACGACGGGAGCUGGUCUGAGAGGAUGGCCAGCCACAUUGGGACUGCGACACGGCCCAGACUCCUACGGGAGGCAGCAGUGGGGAGUAUUGCGCAAUGGACGAAAGUCUGACGCAGCGACGCCGCGUGUGGGAUGAAGCUCUUCGGGGUGUAAACCACUGUUGCCCGGGACGAACUUUCUGGCUUUAGCCAGAUUGACGGUACCGGGUGAGGAAGCACCGGCUAACUCUGUGCCAGCCGCCG
rnacentral:rRNA from 1 species